AGAGCGAACGCUGGCGGCAGGCCUAACACAUGCAAGUCGAGCGCCCCGCAAGGGGAGCGGCAGACGGGAGAGUAACACGUGGGAACGUGCCCUUUGGUUCGGAACAACACAGGGAAACUUGUGCUAAUACCGGAUAAGCCCUUACGGGGAAAGAUUUAUUGCCAAAGGAUCGGCCCGCGUCUGAUUAGCUUGUUGGUGAGGUAACGGCUCACCAAGGCUACGAUCAGUAGCUGGUCUGAGAGGAUGAUCAGCCUCACUGGGACUGAGACACGGCCCAGACUCCUACGGGAGGCAGCAGUGGGGAAUAUUGGACAAUGGGCGCAAGCCUGAUUCAGCCAUGCCGCGUGGAUGAUGAAGGCCUUAGGGUUGUAAAGUCCUUUCGGCGGGGAAGAUAAUGACGGUACCCGCAGAAGAGCCCGGCUAACUUCGCGCCAGCAGCCGC
rnacentral:rRNA from 1 species